CUGGUGUCAGCCGCCGCGGUAAUACCAGCACCCCGAGUGGUCGGGACGAUUAUUGGGCCUAAAGCAUCCGUAGCCGGUCUUGCAAGUCUUCCGUUAAAUCCACCUGCUUAACAGAUGGGCUGCGGAAGAUACUACAAGACUAGGAGGCGGGAGAGGCAAGCGGUACUCAGUGGGUAGGGGUAAAAUCCUCUGAUCCAUUGAAGACCACCAGUGGCGAAGGCGGCUUGCCAGAACGCGCUCGACGGUGAGGGAUGAAAGCUGGGGGAGCAAACCGGAUUAGAUACCCGGGUAGUCCCAGCUGUAAACGAUGCAGACUCGGUGAUGGGCCGGCUUCAUGCCGGCUCAGUGCCGCAGGGAAGCCGUUAAGUCUGCCGCCUGGGGAGUACGGUCGCAAGACUGAAACUUAACG
rnacentral:rRNA from 2 species